rnacentral:rRNA from 1 species
CCUACGGGUGGCAGCAGUGGGGGAUAUUGCACAAUGGGGGAAACCCUGAUGCAGCGACGCCGCGUGAGUGAAGAAGUAUUUCGGUAUGUAAAGCUCUAUCAGCAGGGAAGAAAAUGACAGUACCUGACCAAGAAGCCCCGGCUAACUACGUGCCAGCAGCCGCGGUAAUACGUAGGGGGCAAGCGUUAUCUGGAGUUCCUGGGUGUAAAGGGGGCGUAGACGGUUAUGUAAGUCUGGAGUGAAAGCCCAGGGCCCAACCCCGGGACUGCUUUGGAAACUGUGUAACUGGAGGACAGGAGGGGCAGGCGGAAUUCCUGGUGUAGCGGUGAAAUGCGUAGAUAUCAGGAGGAACACCGGCGGCGAAGGCGGCCUGCUGGACUGAAACUGACGUUGAGGCUCGAAAGCGUGGGGAGCAAACAGGAUUAGAUACCCUAGUAGUC